rnacentral:rRNA from 1 species
GACGAACCGAGCGAACGUUGUUCGGAAUCACUGGGCUUAAAGGGCGCGUAGGCGGGCCGGCAAGUCCGGGGUGAAAGCAUACGGCUCAACCGUAUCAGUGCCUCGGAUACUGCCGGCCUCGAGGGAGGUAGGGGCGUGCGGAACUUCCGGUGGAGCGGUGAAAUGCGUAGAUAUCCGAAGGAACACCGGUGGCGAAAGCGGCGCGCUGGACCUCUUCUGACGCUGAGGCGCGAAAGCCAGGGGAGCAAACGGG